rnacentral:rRNA from 1 species
CAGUCGCCGCGGUAAUACGAAGGGUGCAAGCGUUUCUCGGAAUUACUGGGCGUAAAGCGUGCGUAGGUGGUGGUUUAAGUCCGUUGUGAAAGCCCUGGGCUCAACCUGGGAAUUGCAGCGGAUACUGGAUCACUAGAGUGUGGUAGAGGAUAGUGGAAUUUCCGGUGUAGCAGUGAAAUGCGUAGAGAUCGGAAGGAACAUCUGUGGCGAAGGCGACUAUCUGGGCCAACACUGACACUGAGGCACGAAAGCGUGGGGAGCAAACAGGAUUAGAUACCCCGGUAGUCCCUGUCUCUUAUAC